CGUGCUCGCACCGCACCCAAUCCCAUCCUCUCCCCUGGUCGUCCCGAUCCACACCAGCCGCCGCACAACCCUAGCCCCUUUCCCCUCGAUCCCCACAGCCCCUCCCUCCUCCUCGCUCUCCGCCAUGGCCUCUGCACUAGGAGCCUCUCCAUGGCCUCCUACCCAUCCCCCCCACCACCAUAGGUGUACACAGAUGGUGGAUCCGUGCCGGAGAAGAGCAGCUCCAGUUAUGGUGGGGUGCAUCUGUGCCGAAGAUGAAGGAGGUCCGCUACCCGUCUUUGCCUCCUCGUUGCGUCCUUGUUGCUCCUCCUCCUCUCUCUCUCUCCGCACCUAGCAGUGCAGCAGCCGGAACAAGGGGAAGGAGCAGCCCGACCCGGCUCCAUCUCUCUCCUUCAUGCAGGAGAACUGGAUGAGCAGGUGGCGAGGGAAGCCGCCACGGCUAGCGGCGGCGCUGCACAGGAACGUCCACCUCCAGGGACCAGAUCUUGGCUAUGAUCUAUGCUGCUGAUUUGGCUAUCAACUGCUAAAUCUACGAAUCAUUCAAAAUGUUUUGCCUAACUGCACAAGCUUGCAUAUGACCACUGGGCCAUGUCUCUUGAUUUUACUACUGCUAUGGACAAAAGAAGGCUAAAGCUGGGAAAGACAACAAUGUCAGGAGCCAACCGAGGUAAAGAAACCUAAGUUGACAAGCAGGGCGUACUCCCCUCUGCAGUUAUUUUUCUCUGCUAUUCAUUGAGCAUAUCAGGAGAUUGAUAGACAGUGUGAGAACUGGUACAUAAAAUAAUUUAAGAACAUUAAUCUGAAUCACAUAGUGGUUCCUAACAUUUAGCAUUUCUAAAAUUUGCCAUUUUUAGAUAGACAGUGUGAGAACUGGUACAUAAAAUAAUUUAAGAACAUUAAUCUGAAUCACAUAGUGGUUCCUAACAUUUAGCAUUUCUAAAAUUUGCCAUUUUUACCUAGAUCCAAAAUGCCGAGAAGCAGGGUUUAUUUUCUCUCAUCACCAUAACAAAGGUAUGCAGUCCAUUCUUAUAUUAUUUUUUUACAAUGGCAUUAUGCACAUAACCUGUCUGAUGCAAUGGACAAUCGGAUAUUUGUGGUUGGUAUAAAUCAUUUUAAUGCAUAAAAGAAGAGUUGGUAGGUUUUGACAUGAACAUGAUGAAUUAUUGCGGCCUUGUUGUUUCUUGAAUGGUAGUGUGUAGAAAGUUUGUUUUGCUCUUGAAAGGUGUGUGUGAGAGUUCGAGGGAAGAAACUAUUGCUUUACUUAUGUUUCAACUCCAGUGAGGCAUGUUUGAACGGUAGUGAAAAUAUGGUGCUUAUUUUUAUUUUGCUGAUUUGAGGAUAUUGGUAGUAGAAUGUCCUUUUGGGCUGGUCUUGCGGUUCAUUCAGUUUCAAGGGAAAAGAUAUAUGUGUGGUUUCUUUGCUUUACAGAAGAUGCAUUAUAUGAUGUCUUCAUCUUGGUAACCAUUACCAAUUUUACAUUCUGUGGUGAAUUCUAAAUCAUGCUAGGCAAUGUUGUCUUUUAAUAAGUUGUCAUAUUGUACGCAUGAGUUCUCUAAAAUUCCUGGGUGGUUUAUUCUAUUAUAAAGCUAGAAAAGAAGCAGCAAUGGGGAGUUGUUUAAGGACGGACAAAAGCCAUGAGUUGUUUUGCUGGGAAAAGAAACAAGUAAUAUCACAUUCUGAAGGUUCAUUUUCAUCUAUACGGGUCAGGAGUCCUUAACAUGUGAAGUAUCAUAGGUUUCUAACCAUGUACAUAGGUCAUACACAGCUAAGCACUCGAGCUAUGAUUAUUGUUAUGUAUGGAUUAAUAGUGAUAAUCAUUGUUUGGUUCAGGCAUUGAACAGCUAAAACUAACUCAAAAGUAUAUGUUGUUUCAAAAUAAAUGAUGUACCUAAAGAACUUUAUUGAUGAUCAGGCGUGCAUUUCGAAUGCAUUUGAAUCAAAUUCAGAAUGCCUGAGGAUUGAUUUUUUCUGUUGGUCAUGUUGUAAAAAUAGGAAGCAGCUUCUCACGAGCUAACCUUUUUUUUGCACUUGUUGUACCAAGGAAAUCUGUUCUCCCGUGAGUACAGUUCGAUUGUGUGUACCCAGAGUUUUUUUGGUGCUUACAGGACAAAAAAGUUAUAUUUACUUUGAUUCAUCUAUUUGCAGCAAAAAAAAACUUUUUCUUCGUGCAUAAAUGUGUAGUGUUCAUUAUUCAGAUCAAAUCAGUGAGACUGUCGUUUUUGUAUCGGCUUUGAGGGAGGAUGAUGUUUUGUGCAUGUUUCAUUUGCCAUCAAGGCGAUCAUGAUGUUGACUCAUGUCUAAUGCUGAUGGUGAACCGAUUUAUUUCUAACAAAAGAACUAUGAACCUGAGCUUUUCAGUGUCGUUUAUCUGGUGUAGGGGAAUGUGGAUGUUAAAGCAUUUGGUUCUGAUGGAUCAUAUUAUUGGUUCUCUGUUCAACUGAAGAUGGCUUCAGAUAGGACUAACGUUGGAAUAUUCAUGUGUUAUAUGCCAAUAUAGAUUUCUCAAUGUAUCAUUUUGGCACUGUUUGACUGCUGAACAAUAUUGCCAUGCUGAUCAUUUCUCAUGUCUUUGCAAUUUUUGGUCUUUGUUUGAUUUCGUUGUGUGGUGUGCUUCGAUCUAGGUGAGUUGAGUUGCUGCUUGGUUGGAGAUAUUGAUGUCGUUCGAGACGCCCGCUGGAUUCACCCUUUUCAAGGCUCUGAAUAAGGGCAAGCUCGACAAGGUCGAGGUGAGUGUUCGUCACCACCUCAGCUCUUGGUUUGGUUUGGAUUACUCGUGUUUUUUAUUUUGACUGCAAAAUAACUUCUCUUUUCAACACACUUAGUACGUGAUCUAGCAAUCAUAUUUUAUAAUAGAGUAAGUGAGAAAAAGCUCUUUAUUUGAAUGACCAAGAAUCCGUGGUGUGCUCCUGAACUGCAAGAAACACUCCAUUACGAAACUCACUUAAGUAGGCUGAUAGAUGAUACCUUGUCUUAAGCCUAUUUUCUCAAAAUAAUGAGAGGCUGAAUGAUUCAAACACAAGCUGAACCAUCUUUCUCACCUCAUCAUUUCGUUACAUUUGAUUACUGAUUCGUUAAGGAGUUGUUGUUCUGUGUUCACCUAUUUUCCCAAACUGUAUGUACGCAUCGCUCGCAAAAGAAAUCGAUUUAAACCCUGUUCGAAAAAAUUUGGGCUGUUGUAAGGUUGAAAAAAAAUGCAUGUGUUGUCAUGUAAGCACUUGAAUUGAGGAGCAAAAUGAAAAGUAACUCAGCAGUGGAUAAUCUUACCUCAUUAGCCUAGACAAUACUACAGGUAGUAUGCUGUUGCUGGCCCAUAUAUCCCAAGACAGGGUACACAGAUAGCUCUUGACCUUGCCAUAACGUAAGUAGUUCAUUUGGUUAAUCUGUUUUGCGUUUUGACAUGCAUAAUUUGUUGCAUUAUUCUAUUCUUGAUAAAAUGAUGAUAAAAAUGAAAUGAAUCUUCAGUAUUGGGGCUGAUGGUCGGCACUUGUUGUGUAAAUGGAGUACACGCACAUUGCAGCGAUAAAGUUAUUAAUUGUCCCUAUAUAUUCCUCAGUUAGAUCUCUAAUAAAUCAAGAAGUUUGACAAUUGUCAGUAAGUUCAGUAUAUCAUCGUCUGCUUAAUAUUUCGCAAGUGGAAAAAGCAUACAAAUAUUAAUUCUCAGUACAAAGGUGAAGUGUUCAUAUAUAUCAAUGCUUUCACCUCACUUGUCAUGCUGUUAUGAACUAUAUUUUUUUGUGAUUGCUAUAUCAGAAUCAAAUUGACCCAUCCGAUGCUUGACUGUAUCUUAGCAUGCUUAUCGAGUACAUCCCUUAUGUCAUUUUUAGAGAUAAAUUCAUUUGUGUCAAGUAUCGCAUUUUGCCAUAUGAACAUGACAAGUUGUCAUAUAUUGGCCUGUCAAAUUUAUCGGGUGUCAAGUUCACUUGCCAUAUUCUUAAUUCUGUUUCUUCUCAUUUUGAUGUUGGUGUGUGUAUUGUUAGUGAAAAUAUGCUCACCAUUUUUUUUAAAUAUGUGUAUGCCAUUAACUGAUGUCAUUGUUAGUAAUUUGUAUUUGCUUUAUCCGCUCUGAUGAGUUUGUCAGGUUCCUUUCUCAAUAUGCUUAGAUGCUUGUGCAACAGCAGAAGUAAUGGUUGAUUGGUCCAGCCUUUGUGUCGGUUUCAUAUGUAUAUAUGUUGGCCUAGCUAACAUUGUGAGUUAGUAAUUUAUGCUUCUUUUCUUUGGGAUAAUUAUGCCUAGCUGGAAACAAAGAGGAGUCAGGUAUGAUACAACCACGGCGGCUGGCCAGCGACUAACAGGUAAUUUCUCUUUCAAUUUGAUGAUAAUGGAUGAGAAUCAGUUCUAUGAUUGCAGCUUAAUUGCAGCUUAUAAAAGCAGAUGUUGGAAUGUGAUGUACUUAUUCAUCAUGAUAGAUGCAAUUGCUUAUUAGUUGGUGCUCUCGAAUCCUUCUUUAACUAAUUUACUUUGGAGUUUGGACAAAGGAGACUAUUUUUUUAUUCGUUCUGUCAUGGAUUCCCUCUCUAGCCUAUGUAUGUUUCAGAGAUAGGCACACACCUAGGAGAAGCCUGAGAUAUAAUAAUAGUGCUAAGCAAUUACUCUGAUUGUCAUUCUAUGCUAUUAUCACAACACAGGUCAACAGAUAGUCAACAAAUGUGUAAUCAGCUUUGUCUGGGUCCUGCAUCAUCUACUAAUAAUCAAAUUUUGUAGCGAUCGUCUUAUAAAUUAGCAUACCUAUUUCUCCACAUUCGGUAGCUUUUAUUGUGACUACAAAGAAUAUAGUUUGAGGAUGGCAUGCCAAUUCUUCUAUGUCUUAGGUAUGAAGUAAUUUCUAAAAUGUCUUAGGCUUCCCUGUAAAUUAUGCAAAUUUAUGGCAUGCCACUAAAACCUACAGGGUGCUCCACCGAUGGUGAAAAUACCUCACAGGAUGAUGUUGGAUAUUAUUCUACAAACUUUGGGCCUACCGGUGGCUGAAAAUGUGACAGUGGCAUGAUGUGGAUGACUGUAAUUUCCAUACACCAACGUUAUCUUUUGGAGAUAAAAUAGCCGUAUGGCUAUUACAUGAGACCAUGUCAGAAGACCCUGCUGCUAUGGAAGCAAAAUGAUUCAUGAAAUCUGCGGUGAAAACAAAGAUAAGAAACUAUAAUUACAGCAGCAUUAAGAAACCGAGGACACGAAAUGAGUCUAAAAAAUGCUAUGGGCUAAUUCGUUCUAGCUAGGUACAUGCACGACUUAUCUUAUAUAUAUGCAACGUAACAAUGUGGAUAACUAGAACUGUUGUGAUGUUGCUCUAUUAUAAGUACAAAUAAUUCAUGGUUAUCUUUUCUUUGGUUUACAGGCGAUGUGUGGUAGAAGUUGUACUCACAGGAAGACUAUCGUGCUGUGUAUAAACCACAUUCUACGAUUCACUUCUGUUAUGCAUAUUUACUUUUCAGUUUUAGGACCAAAACCCAUCCAUUGUAAUGAAUUUGGUUGUAUGGGCAUUACCUAUUUGACUUAGGCUUGCUUCAUCACAUAUAGACUGCUUUUCUUUUCCCCACUGCUUGUAUGACCUAAAACUAUCAUGUAUAUGAGCCAAGUUAUUAGCAAUGUUUCACAUUUUCUUACUUGCAA